rnacentral:lncRNA from 10 species
GCGGGGCGAGUGCGAGUUUCGAUCCAGAUAGGGCCUCCAGGUGGAGCGCCUGGGAUCUCAACGGCACCUGGCCCCCGGGCGGGCGGAUUCAGCCCCCGGGGAGCAGGCGCGGGAGUGAGGAGCCCCGAUUGAUUCUGCAUGGGAUGGGCCACGGCUCAGGGGGCCAGAGGCGGCGCCAAGGCAGGGGGCGCGGAUCCAGCACAGCUCCUUCCCGGCCCAAACCGAAUAAAACUCCCAGCAGCCCACAGUGAGACCCAGUGGAAAAGGCGCCCUCUGCUGGAGAGGCGCAGACGGGCGGAGCUGGAAGAGACAAAACCCAAAACACCUGAACAUUUAUUUCAGCAACUAGAAUACUUCAAGUAGGAGGCGGGGGAAGCCGUGCCUUGUCAAGUUAAAGCGGACAACUUGUUCCUUCUCAGCACACCUCACUCCCAACUACCCUGCAGGAUGGAGGUGUAUCAGGAAAAACAGUGCUCCGGAUCCCUUACCUGAGAUCUAAAGACGCCACAUUUUCUUCACAAGUGUUCUUAAGUCAACUGGGAGGACAAAGAUUGCAUGCUGCUACAAAGAGACCAAUCAACAACUGCUCAGCAGAGAUACAGAUCUGAAGCACAGAAGUGCAAUAGACCUUCCUGAUGCCUUCGCCAGGAGCAUGGAAUUCUUCCCAGAGUCACAGAAGAUGGCACAGCCUGGGGACAAUUGGGAAUCACCUGGAGGAUGGCAGACAACACGAACCUGCAAGUAAUCAUCCGACCAACUUCCUCUACUGCUUGGGAAUUGCAGGUUGUAUAAUCUUGGGAGGUCACUUCAACUAUACAAUUGGACUAAGAACACUGACUCUCGUGGGUGUUAUAAUUAAAUCAGACAUAAGCUGGCGAUGACUUUUUUGUACAAAAGUUACUGAUGAAAAGCUCAUAGAGGCAUUUGGAUUUCUUCAGGGUUGUAAAUCCAGGUAUGUUACUACUUUAUCUACUGGAAAUUGGGGUAAUGCAGGAGAUGGGAAAGCAUGAUGUUAAAUCAACUGGUGACCCCAAAUAAUUUUCCAUGGUGUUCAUCAGCCAUGCACACACUGUAUUACUGUCAUCAUUCCUAGCUUUUCCACUAUGCUGUCUCAAGUUUGCACAAAUUGUAAGUGAUUUUAAAUCAUUAACUGAUGUGACAUAAUCAAAUUACUUAGGGUUUUAUUUACUGUGCUCCGAGUAAUUCAGUUAUGACUUGGCAAGGUAUUUAACAGACAAUAGUGAAGUUACUACAAAUUCAACUUUGCAUUGGACAACUCCAUUUGAGGAUACCACCACCUUCAAAUUAACAAUUCCAGAAACUGGUCUCAGUAUCUCGUUCCAACAACAAGCAUCACCCACUACAAUAAAAACAGCAAGUAGAAUCUUUUUACUUCUUUUGUGUUUCUCAUCUCGGCAAACUGCACUACAAUCUACCAAACUGCCCGAGCCAGAAACCUAGAGGUCAGGCUGGAUUUUCCUGAGGACAUGAGGUGAAGAAGCAACCACUGCGAAGUACUAAGGGACUCAGAAUCAUGAACCACAGUUUGCAGAGAGAUCUGAUUUUUACAUGUUUGUUUGUGUGUGGCUUUAAGUAAU